rnacentral:rRNA from 1 species
GACGAACGCUGGCGGCGUGCUUAACACAUGCAAGUCGAACGGAAAGGCCCUGCUUUUGUGGGGUGCUCGAGUGGCGAACGGGUGAGUAACACGUGAGUAACCUGCCCUUGACUUUGGGAUAACUUCAGGAAACUGGGGCUAAUACCGGAUAGGAGCUCCUGCUGCAUGGUGGGGGUUGGAAAGUUUCGGCGGUUGGGGAUGGACUCGCGGCUUAUCAGCUUGUUGGUGGGGUAGUGGCUUACCAAGGCUUUGACGGGUAGCCGGCCUGAGAGGGUGACCGGCCACAUUGGGACUGAGAUACGGCCCAGACUCCUACGGGAGGCAGCAGUGGGGAAUAUUGCACAAUGGGCGGAAGCCUGAUGCAGCAACGCCGCGUGCGGGAUGACGGCCUUCGGGUUGUAAACCGCUUUCGCCUGUGACGAAGCGUGAGUGACGGUAAUGGGUAAAGAAGCACCGGCUAACUACGUGCCAGCAGCCGCGGUGAUACGUAGGGUGCGAACGUUGUCCGGAUUUAUUGGGCGUAAAGGGCUCGUAGGUGGUUGAUCGCGUCGGAAGUGUAAUCUUGGGGCUUAACCCUGAGCGUGCUUUCGAUACGGGUUGACUUGAGGAAGGUAGGGGAGAAUGGAAUUCCUGGUGGAGCGGUGGAAUGCGCAGACAUCAGGAGGAACACCAGUGGCGAAGGCGGUUCUCUGGGCCUUUCCUGACGCUGAGGAGCGAAAGCGUGGGGAGCGAACAGGCUUAGAUACCCUGGUAGUCCACGCUGUAAACGGUGGGUACUAGGUGUGGGGUCCAUUCCACGGGUUCCGUGCCGUAGCUAACGCUUUAAGUACCCCGCCUGGGGAGUACGGCCGCAAGGCUAAAACUCAAAGGAAUUGACGGGGCCCCGCACAAGCGGCGGAGCAUGCGGAUUAAUUCGAUGCAACGCGUAGAACCUUACCUGGGUUUGACAUGGAUCGGGAGUGCUCAGAGAUGGGUGUGCCUCUUUUGGGGUCGGUUCACAGGUGGUGCAUGGCUGUCGUCAGCUCGUGUCGUGAGAUGUUGGGUUAAGUCCCGCAACGAGCGCAACCCUUGUUCACUGUUGCCAGCACGUUAUGGUGGGGACUCAGUGGAGACCGCCGGGGUCAACUCGGAGGAAGGUGGGGAUGACGUCAAGUCAUCAUGCCCCUUAUGUCCAGGGCUUCACGCAUGCUACAAUGGCUGGUACAGAGAGUGGCGAGCCUGUGAGGGUGAGCGAAUCUCGGAAAGCCGGUCUCAGUUCGGAUUGGGGUCUGCAACUCGACCUCAUGAAGUCGGAGUCGCUAGUAAUCGCAGAUCAGCAACGCUGCGGUGAAUACGUUCCCGGGGCU